GUCCAGUUGUAAAGACUAGGAAUGCCCGAAUUUCAUGGAGAUUUUGGCAGAUGUUUUUGAGAGUCCCUGACCCUUGGUGACCCGACUGUCAGAAAAGAUUUGACGAAGAGGACCCAAUCUGUCCCCCGGAGACACAGAACACAUGAGCUUGACACAAUGUGCUGAACUGUAGUGACCCACAACACUCAGUUGUUGUCACGUUUCUGGAGCCAGCUACAUCCACAGCGAGGGUUUUUCUCCCUCCGACCGUAGAAGGCUUCGUCAAUCACGAUCAACUCAUCCGCUGCACAAGCCAGCCGUAUGUUGUGCAAGAAUCAACCCAUUGAUGUAGUGGAAUCAACCAUCCUUCUUCGAGGGGAGGUCCUGAAUUUCAGCGGCAUCACCAAUGAAUGGUCAAUAAGGUAA